AAAGGCUAAUCAAGCCCGGAGAUAGCUGGUUCUCCCCGAAAGCUAUUUAGGUAGCGCCUCGGACGAAUACCACAGGGGGUAGAGCACUGUUUCGGCUAGGGGGUCAUCCCGACUUACCAACCCGAUGCAAACUCCGAAUACCUGUGAGUACUAUCCGGGAGACACACGGCGGGUGCUAACGUCCGUCGUGAAGAGGGAAACAACCCAGACCGCCAGCUAAGGUCCCCAAGUACCAGUUAAGUGGGAAACGAUGUGGGAAGGCUCAGACAGCUAGGAGGUUGGCUUAGAAGCAGCCACCCUUGAAAGAGUGCGUAAUAGCUCACUGGUCAAGUGAUUCCGCGCCGAUAAUGUAGCGGGGCUUAAGUUAUUCGCCGAAGCUGUGGCAACCGUGUUCGGUUGGGUAGGGGAGCGUCGUGUCAGUGGUGAAGCUGCCGGGUGACUGUGUGGUGGAGUUGAUGCGAGUGAGAAUGCAGGCAUGAGUAGCGAAUGACGAGUGAGAACCUCGUCCGCCGGAUGACCAAGGGUUCCUGGGUCAAGCUAAUCUGCCCAGGGUGAGUCGGGACCUAAGGCGAGGCCGACAGGCGUAGUCGAUGGACAACGGGUUGAUAUUCCCGUACCCGCGA
rnacentral:rRNA from 1 species